ACUUAUUCUCAGGGCGGGGCGUAAUUCCCCACCGGCGGUGUAUCAGGAUACUGAUGAGCCCGCGAGCGCUCUUUACAUAUAAAGAGGACAGCAGAACUGGUAAAAGCCAGUGCCGACGGUAUAGUCCGGAUGAAAGAGGAUAGGC
rfam:Sporomusa sphaeroides DSM 2875 SPSPH_contig000006, whole genome shotgun sequence.